rfam:Triticum aestivum genome assembly, contig: Triticum_aestivum_CS42_TGACv1_scaffold_521959_6BS
AAAGUACUCCCUCUGUCCCAAAAUUCUUGUCUUAGAUUUGUCUAGAUACGGAUGUAUCAAGUCACAUUUUAGUAUUAGAUACAUCCGUAUCUAGACAAAUCUAAGACAAGAAAUUUGGGAAAGCGGGAGUUGUUG